rnacentral:lncRNA from 1 species
UUUUAUUUAUUUUUUAUAACUAGGAAUGAGGAAUUGAGCAAGGUUCAUGCAUAACUUGAGUAGAUCUAAACAGUUCAACAAUUAUAGUAACCCUUUGUUCAAUAUCUAUUGCUCAGGUAUUUGUUUGGGGUGUGAUUUUCAUUUUUCACAUGGGUGAAUCAUGUGAUUUAUUAGUUUCUCCCUUCCCGUGUGGUUGUGCAGCAAGUGUUAGUGUACACCAUAUUAAAUUCUAAGUUAAGUAAUACAAUACAGUAAAAGGGGCCAAGGGGGAGCUCCAAAUGGCUACCUGAAAGGUUUGGGUACACCAUAAUUUAAACUGAAUUAUGUACAUGAUCGGUUGACAAGCAACGUCAGAAAACACCCAAAUGGCUAGUUGUUGGAGUCGGCUGUUCUUUUUUAUUUUUUAGAUGAUUUUGGAGGCAGCUUUUGAAAUCAAUUUUUCUCUACCUUUAUCUGGGGGGAUGUUAUCUGAUUAUUGUUCGAUACCACUUAUUGAGUAUUUCCGAAGGAAAAAAACUUGCCUCUGCUUUUGUUUAUCUAGUGUACUUUCCUAUUCAAUUGGCAACCUCUAUCCAGUACCCAGUUAAUAUACCCAAUUAGAAGAGUCAUCAUGUG